AGUGAACGCUGGCGGUAGGCCUAACACAUGCAAGUCGAACGGCAGCACAGUAAGAGCUUGCUCUUACGGGUGGCGAGUGGCGGACGGGUGAGGAAUACAUCGGACUCUACUUUUUCGUGGGGGAUAACGUAGGGAAACUUACGCUAAUACCGCAUACGACCUACGGGUGAAAGCAGGGGAUCUCGGCCCUUCCCAGGAUCCAUACGCCCGUUCUCGAUUUAGCUAGUGGGCGGGGUAAAGGCCAACCAAGCCGACGGUCCGUAGCUGGUCUUGGAGGAUGAUCAGCCACACUGGAACUGGGACACGGUCCAGACUCCUACGGGAGGCAGCAGUGGGGAAUAUUGGACAAUGGGCGCAAGCCUGAUCCAGCCAUACCGCGUGGGUGAAGAAGGCCUUCGGGUUGUAAAGCCCUUUUGUUGGGAAAGAAAAGCAGCAGGUUAAUACCCCGCUGUUCUGACGGUACCCAAAGAAUAAGCACCGGCUAACUUCGUG
rnacentral:rRNA from 1 species